GCCCGACGUGGGGCUCGAGCUCACCAACCGUUGAGAUCGUGACCUGAGCCAAGGUUGGACGCUCAGCGGUCCACCCAGGUGCCCCUACACACUUUUAGGACUUUGUGUGCAAAAUCUUCUCUUUCACCUGUCUUUGCAGGCCUUGUCUGGGGAUCAGAGUGGGCACGGAGGACUGGCGAGUUCUGCCUGGGAGAAUUCGAGAAGACUCCUCGGAGAAUGUCGUGUCUGAGCACGAUGUUCCCUGCAUUUGUUUGGAGCUCCAGGGCUGGGCCCUCCUUGGGGUUAGCGCUCCUCGAGGAAGCCCCGCCUCCUCACUCACCCGAGGGCCACCGGGCUGCGUUCAGAGCGCUCAGGUGGUACAAACACCUGUCCUUCCGUGGGGCGUGGCUUUCCGUGGAUGCGAAUGAGGAAGCACGAAGCCCCCCUUUCUGCGGCUGGCAGCCACUUUGGCAUCCUGAGGGAAGCACACCUGAGGAUAAAGCGUGAAUGAUCGUGGAGGAAUCUGGUGGCGAGAAUAGAAGCGGGGAGGGGCAGCGAGGUAAAUGAGAUCAGCCUGCAAGGAAAUUAAGUAGGGUCACGCGACGGGGCGUGAAGAGGGGGUGGGGAACCCUUGGAUGGGCCCGGCGCGGGGGCGGAGUGUGGGCACUAA
rnacentral:lncRNA from 1 species